AUGCGUGGUUAUGAACCUAUCGUAUUAACUAUGAACAUUUUCUGUUGUCACUGCAUCACGAUGGACCUCUGUGUCUUGAAGCAGCUGACCGAGGUGAUGAGUAAUCACACUUUAAUUUCGAUCCAUUCUUCUUUGAGCGAUGUCGGCGAGGAGCAAGAAGAACGAGAAAAGCAACUACGGCAAGAAGAGGACAGCGGCCAACUCUCGCCCCAAUCUACGCACAUCCAAAGCAUUGCUUUCCGAGUCCUGUGCUGCGAUGAGAAGGCCCCUGGGAACGAGGGUACGGACAACUAAUCCCUCCUCAUGACAUCCUCGUCCUGCGUCAUCCCCACUUUCCUCGAGCGAUGGGCAUUCUGGCCCGGUCGCAUAACCCCCCCCCUUGCCACGGCUCUGAGCCAUCCCACCAAGUCAGCAUGCACAGCAGUUGCCCUUACGCUGUCGCCCCCCCCCCCCCCCCCCCCCCCCAGCCCAGCACAGGGCGACCAGGGACACCACCUGACCACACAGGUACCGCCAGGGGGUCUACGGUGACGGAGUGACGCUGUGAAUGCACUGCCCACACUAAAGGAUACGGUUGCGUUGGACUCUCUCUAUCUCUCUAUCUAUGUAAGGAAUCAGCCCUUCGGUCAUCCUGCAUGCAACCUCUAAGGCCAAAAGCCACUUUAUCCGUUUGCGCUGCUUAUUCGAUUUAUUUUAAACUAGUGACGAACUGUUCCACAAAAAAAGAAUAGAAUCUCCUGGCUCUAAUGAACAUCUGCUAUGCGUCACUUGAAAUCAAUACCCUGAUAAGGAUUGUUAUGCAUAAAGCAUUAACAAGCCCUUCAUAAAAUAUGUGCCCGUGAGGGUAAAAGCUCAUUAAAAAUGUCCCAGUGUGAAUUAAUGGAGCGAAGAACAAAGUGCUCCAUUAUGGCGGAGCAAGCCUCUCUCUAUAUCCAACUCUCCAAAAGCGCUCUCUCUCUCGGACUAUUGGGUUACAUUAAUACUACGGUUUGGUGUGCUGUAAACCUACAAUUUGUUCUCCAUUAAACAUACUUCAUGAUCGUUUUGUCUAAUGGCCUUAAGUGUUUUGCAAUAUGUUAUGCAUUUGGAUAAAUUUAACACUAGUCCUGGUACUGCAAACACUGGAGAAUAAACAUAUGAUAUCAUAUUUAUCUAAUUUGCUUCUUUGCAGACUAUGUGUUUUUAUAAUUACCAUCUAUGGCUGGGGAGUUCAAGCCUUCUCUUGAACUCCCAGUGGUCGCUGUGAUAUGAUUUCAUAACUAUCAUCAAACCCAGGUUCCGUGACUCUCUCCGCCAUGAAGGAGGUGAUUCAUGGCGUGCCUCCAUGACUCUUUCUCUGUCGAUCUAUUGUGAAACUCAGGAUAACAUUUCCCCAGCGACUUCCUCCGAGCACCAGAGGAAGUCAGGCAGUUCACACUCCCCUGACACAAUAGCCCCAUCGCUCAGGGGAGGAGAACAGGCACUCCACAACACAAGGGGGGGGAGAGGGGGAGAAGGAGGUGGGAGAAAGGGAAAACGGGAGGCGAGUAGAAGGGAAAAUAAACACAUUUAGAUGGAUCAGUUACAAUAGCGAUAAGGAUAACAAUGGUGUGGUUCAGCGACAGUUAUAAUCCCCCUGGUCGUAUAUGCACAUCAGUGUUAGUGUAGUCCAGGCACAAAAGUCCAGUCGGACUCACCAAAAUCUAAAUGCAAAAAAAACGAUAAUUAAAAAGAAAAACAUGAGAUUUAUUAAGGAUAGGACAUGAUAUCAUCCAAGACUGAUUUUCAUAACUGUUGCAUAAAUAUACUCACAUGUUGCAUUACAUGUGAGGUUCAGG
ensembl:lncRNA